AGAUGAGGCAUUUACAAGCCCGUAACUCAUGACCAAAUACUCAUUGUGGCCAGAGUUAGUGGAGAAAGCAGUUUUCCAUUCAUCUCCUUCUCUGAUUCUCAAAAGGUUAUACGCACUUCUUAAAUCCAAUUUGGUGAAAUGGAUUGCUCUGUGUAGUUGUUCAAGUGCAGAAAGCACUAAAAGCAAGGGCAAGCGGAAUUUCUAUUUUAUGGCAUUUAGGCUGCUGCUAUCUAUACAGGGACGGAGACCCCUGUCUUUCUUCUCCACAGAAAACAAACUAGCCAAGGCAGGGGAGGUGGAAUGUCUAAUAAAACCCUGGUCUAAAGCCUCUUUAAUGUACUCUUCCUUAGCACUAGCUUCUGUUAAGUAAGAGGGAAGAAGCUGAUCUCUGAAUGGAGGAACAACCAAUAGGUGUGACAGUUAGUCUGGCAGCUCAGAGAAGCAGCAGAAGUAACAGACUCUUACUCUCACUGUGAUGUAGAACUGGAGUUUCAGGAGAUCCUUCAUUUCAGACUCUAUAAGGCUGUAUAACACCUGUUGUUAACAUUGCACUUUGUUAUCAGUUUGUAUUUAAUUAUUAACAGCUGAUUGUAUGUUGAUACGUGUCGUGUUCUGUGAUGUACACUUGUGUGCAGUUUUUGAGUUUGCUGAUGGAUAAAUGAAUUUCUCCAGCUGGGGAUUAAUAAAGUAAAGUAUGAGUGAGUAUAAAAUUAUUCUAACAGAACAUUUUACACUAAACAUUGUUUCACCUCACUGAAGAUCAGAAUCACGUGAAACUCCUGGAGAACAGAGCGUAAAGCGGUGUACCACUGAUGAUGUGAUAAAGCUUUAAGCCUGUAAGAUGAGGUGUUGAGUGAGGGGGCGGAGCUGAGUGUGUGUACAGAGUAGAGAGGAUCAGCACACUGUCAUGCUGGUGUACUAAAGAGCUGAAACUCAGUGUGUUCUUCUCCCAGUGUGUGCUACACCACCAUGAUCAUUUUCACUGUACUGCUGCUCUCUGCUCUUACAGGUAACAGAGCUGAAGACGUCAUCACUCCUAGCAGAGACGCUGUUUUUGCUGUUGAAGGUCAGAAUGUUACCCUCUCCUGUAACUACACUGUAACUGGAGCUGUAAACAGUUAUGGUCUUCACUGGUAUCGACAGUAUUCAGGAUCAUCUCCUCAGUUCCUCAUACUGGACUAUGCAGGACUCAUUACUAAAGCUAAACCUCCAGUUCCUAGAAUAUCCAUCAACCAUCAAAAAGAAAAGAGGAAAGUGGAUCUGAUCAUCUCCUCUACUGCAGUAUCAGACUCUGCUCUCUACUACUGCGCUCUGCAGCCCACAGUGACAGAAACCCACCAAACACUGUACUAAAACUUUACUUGUGAAAUAUGUAGAAACACUUAUAUUUCAGGAGGGGGCGCUGUUUCUCUUCUGCUUCUUUAUCUUCAGCUUCCUCUCCAUUCAGGUUAGAACAUCAGUCUGCUUUGGGACAUCAGUCAUCAUGUUGUGACCUACAGUAACCUAAAACUCUCUAUAACCCUUUAUAAUUGUCUACUGAUACUUCUGUAAAAUAUGUAACAUUAUAUUGUUUGUAGAAACAUAUUAACUCUGAUUUUUAUUCACUUUUUAUAGACUAUUUCAAUGAACUUCCUAAUUUCAAGAGAAAUGCAUUGUUUAAGUUGACACCUUACAAAUCCACAAUGAACCCCCUAUGGCAUGAUGUUGCCCACAGUUCAGAGAUCAGCCUCCCCGGACUAUUGAAGGCGAUUCCGCUCUCACUCACACCAGAACUGAAUCUUGCCUGAAUAGUUUCCCUAUAUAUACACCUGGACUCUGUCUCUACCUCUUUGCAAGAUAUUGCCACUCUGUGAUAUUAUUGAGCGUUUGUAUCACUGUGUUUUUGAAUUCCUGGUUUUCUGAUUCUUUGUCUGAUUUUUGACUACGAUUUUUGCAUUGCGUUUUUGUCUGUUGCAAAAAAAAUACACUUUACUUCUUUACUUUUUUCUAUGUACACUAGAUGUACUUUUUCAAAAGCACACUGUAUUUUUUUUUUUUUAUAUUUUUUUAAAGAAUCUGUUAAAUUAAUUAACUCCAGUCUGUAAGUUACCUGAUUGAUCCUUUUUGAAACGUUGAUGGGCCCAACAAAUCAAGGACUUAAUUUUUUACAUUGGAGUCUUAGUUUGAGGUCUUUACUGGAUAUUCAUACAUGUCACUAGGAUUAAAGAAAAUUGUUUCAAUUCUUUGUCGACCCGCUUGCUCCUUCUGAGCCAAGGCGAGUAUGGGUCUGUUCCCAUUCCCUCUCACUGUGUUCAAACCAGUCAUUGACAGCAUGAGCCUCAGUCCUCUCAGCGUUCCAGGGGAAUAGUGGAGGUUGAAAUUCUAAAAAACAUUAUAAAGGUGUUAAGUCUGUGAAAGUACUGUGGAGAGAGUUUUGAGCAUACUCUGCCCAUGGAAGGAAACGUGACCAUUCAUUUUGUUGAUCGUGAGAGUAGAGAUGCCGAAGACAACCUAUUUCUCGAUUAAAGUGUUCAACUUGACCAUUAGCUUGUGGUCUUUGACCUGAAGUAAGGCCGAAAGAAACUUCCAUUUUAUCCAUGAAUGUCUUUCAUAUAUGUGAAGUGAAUUGCGGACCCCUGUACGAUACGAUGUCCUCAGCUCUGAGGGAAGCAG